GCUGGGGGCAAUGGGCAUGGUACAGUGGGCAUGGUACAGAGGGCACAGGUGUAGAGGGGGUACAGGUGUGGCGGAGGCACAGGUGUGGAGGGGCACAGGUGUGGAGGGGGCACAGGUGUGGAGGGGGCACAGGUGUGUGUGGAGGGGCACAGGUGUGGAGGGGCACAGGUGUGGAGGGGGCACAGGUGUAGAGGGGGCACAGGUGUGGCGGAGGCACAGGUGUGGAGGGGGCACAGGUGUGGAGGGUGCACAGGUGUGGAGGGAGGCGUGUGGUUGUUUCUCUCCAUACCUGUUGGAGCUGCUGGGUCCUGCCGAGGGGGCUGCCUGCAAUGAAGUGAAAAAGACAUUUUCCAUCACACGCAGGAAAAUGAGAGGAGCCCCUGGCUGCUGGAGGCUCUCUGGGAGGAAUAUUUUUGGUGGGAGGUGGGGAGAAUACUGUUACAAUGCCUUUCUAGCCCAUUCUGCUCAGACAAGUGCCCUUAAGUGACCUGAGAUGUUGAGUGGAAAGGAAUCACCCAGCCCGAGCUGGAUGGGUCAAGGACUCAAUGAACACACAGGAGGUGCUAAAGCCAUGUUGUCAGAGCAGAGUCACACUGAGCCCCACCUGGGCCCCAGCAUGCCCAGAAGGGCUGGGAAUUGCAGAUGGUCCUGCGGCCGGUAACUAGGCAGUUGGAGCUGAGGGCCAAGGGAGCAAGGGCAACAGGGCUUUUUUUUUUUUUUUUUUUUUUUUUUUUUCUGGGGGGAAAGAGUCUCCCAGGCUGGAGUGCAGUCCCACCAUCACAGCUCACUGCAGCCUCGACCUCCUGGGCUGAAGCAAUCCUGCGGCCUCAGCUUCCCAAGUAGCUGGGAUUACAGGUGUGUGCCACUAAGCCUGGCCAGAGGCCCUCUUCUUGGACCCUACAGUGUGCCUGGCACUGUGCGGUGUGGGGCAGGCAUCAGUCAGUCUUGUGAGGUAAGAAGCUGAGGCCUAGAGAGAGCAGAGAGCUCUAGAGAUGACACGCCCGGCAGGAGGCAGAGUCAGGGUUCAAACUCAGGCUCUCUGUUGGCUAUUGCCCUGGGCUUCCCCUCUCCCAGGCUCACAGGUGUGGAGACUGGCCCACCCUCAACCCCCACAGGUUGACUGUCAACCUAGCCACAGGGGCCUUCACCCUGAGUGGUCAUCUCCUUACUGAGGGCCUCUAGUUGGUGAGAGAGUGAGGAGAGCCAAGAGAGAACAGGUUCACACAGCCGCCUGUGCUGCGGGGCCACAGCGCAGCUCCCAAGAUGGCAAAGAGAGGAGGGACACAGACAGUGCUCUGCGCCUGUGCCAAGCUCUGUCAGCACUGGCCGCUCUUCUCAGCGCCACUGUCUACACCUCAUUGUCCUAAGUCAAUACACUAAACAUGCCUUGUACACCAAGGUCCAUUUGUAUAAAUAUUCCUGAAGAAACA
rnacentral:SRP_RNA from 10 species